GGCCGGACGUUGGUGGCACACCCCUUUA
rnacentral:piRNA from 1 species